AGCUCAGUUGGCAGAGCAUGGCACUUAUAAUGCCAGGGUUGUGGGUUCCAUUCCCAC
rfam:Salmo salar isolate Sally breed double haploid chromosome ssa11, whole genome shotgun sequence.